rnacentral:rRNA from 1 species
GGUUAAGCGACUAAGCGUACACGGUGGAUGCCCUGGCAGUCAGAGGCGAUGAAGGGCGUGCUAAUCUGCGAUAAGCGCCGGUAAGGUGAUAUGAACCGUUAUAACCGGCGAUACCCGAAUGGGGAAASGCGCGCGAUACAGGGUGACAGCCCCGUACACAAAAGCGCAUGUGCUGUGAGCUCGAUGAGUAGGGCGGGACACGUGGUAUCCUGUCUGAAUAUGGGGGGACCAUCCUCCAAGGCUAAAUACUCCUGACUGACCGAUAGUGAACCAGUACCGUGAGGGAAAGGCGAAAAGAACCCCGGCGAGGGGAGUGAAAAAGAACCUGAAACCGUGUACGUACAAGCAGUGGGAGCAACCGAGUCUUAAYYGGGCGUUAAGUUGCAGGGUAUAGACCCGAAACCCGGUGAUCUAGCCAUGGGCAGGUUGAAGGUUGGGUAACACUAACUGGAGGACCGAACCGACUAAUGUUGAAAAAUUAGCGGAUGACCUGUGGCUGGGGGUGAAAG